rnacentral:rRNA from 1 species
UACGAAGGGGGCUAGCGUUGUUCGGAAUCACUGGGCGUAAAGGGCGCGUAGGCGGAUCGUUAAGUCGGGGGUGAAAUCCUGGAGCUCAACUCCAGAACUGCCUUCGAUACUGGCGAUCUUGAGUCCGGAAGAGGUGAGUGGAACUCCUAGUGUAGAGGUGGAAUUCGUAGAUAUUAGGAAGAACACCAGUGGCGAAGGCGGCUCACUGGUCCGGUACUGACGCUGAGGUGCGAAAGCGUGGGGAGCAAACAGG